AUACGGAGGGUGCGAGCGUUAUCCGGAUUUAUUAGGUUUAAAGGGUGUGUAGGCGGGAGCCUAAGUCAGUGGUGAAAUCUCACAGCUUAACUGUGAAACUGCCAUUGAAACUGGGUUUCUUGAGUAUAGUUGAGGUAGGCGGAAUGUGUAAUGUAGCGGUGAAAUGCAUAGAUAGUACACAGAACACCGAUUGCGAAGGCAGCUUACUAAGCUAUUACUGACGCUGAUGCACGAAAGCGUGGGGAGCGAACAGGAGUAGAUACCCCGGUAGUCC
rnacentral:rRNA from 1 species